rnacentral:rRNA from 1 species
CGCAUCUGUGCAUGCAGCAUAUCAAUAAGCGGAGGAAAAGAAACUAACAAGGAUUCCCUUAGUAACGGCGAGUGAAGCGGGAAGAGCUCAAAUUUGAAAUCUUCAAGGUUUUACCUUGACGAAUUGUAGUUUAAAGAAGUGUUUUCUGUUGAAGUUUUGGUAAAAGUUCUUUGGAAUAGGACAUCAUAGAGGGUGAGAAUCCCGUAUUUGACCACUUAUUUUCAGCUGUGUGAUACACUUUCAAAGAGUCGGAUUGUUUGGGAAUGCAGUCCAAAAUGGGUGGUAAAUUUCAUCUAAAGCUAAAUAUUGGCGAGAGACCGAUAGCGAACAAGUACCGUGAGGGAAAGAUGAAAAGAACUUUGAAAAGAGAGUUAAACAGUACGUGAAAUUGUCAAAAGGGAAGCGUUUGACACCAGUGUUGUUUUCUCGAAAAUCAAUUAAAAAGAGUUUAGAUUUUGUUGUGUAUUGACCUUAACAGCUUGCAUUUCAAUUUUCUUGCUUUUUUUAAUGCACUUUUCGUUUAACAAGUCAACAUCAGUUUCUUUUGUUGUAAAAAGGUCAUUGGAAGGUGGCUUUCUUUUCGGAGAAAGUGUUUAUAGCCUUUGACUCCUGCAAUCGGAGAGACUGAGGUCUGCAGCGUAGAUCCUUCGGGGUUAGAUACAUUUGUGCUAAGUUAUAGCUUUUUAUAGACAACUUGUUGACUAUGAUUAGUCUUGUAGCUUACUCGCUUAUGCUAUUUUACCUACGCUUAGGAUGUUGACGCGCGUGUGUGCGUG